UGGAACUUGAUAUGGACCUUACAGUGCCCCGCAAAGAUCCGGAUUUUUAUUUGGAGAGUUCUCCAUAGUGUUAUUCCGUGUAGGGCGGUUCUUGCCUCGAAGCACAUGAAAGUGAAAACACAUUGCCCGGAAUGCAAUAUGGGACCUGAUAGCAUCAAGCACUUCCUUUUUGAGUGCCCAAGAUCAAAAGAGGUAUGGCGACAAUAGGGGCUGAUUGAUGUUGUCAAGAGGAGAUGUACACAAUUCAAAUCAGGUGAAGAAGUGGUGCAUGAAUUAUUAAGCAUGGAGGAAACUGAAGUCCAGAUCCUAGGUCUUCCCAAACUGAAGGAGGUUGUGGCCACUGCGGCAUGGUAUCUAUGGUAUGAACACCGAAAAAAGUACCAUGGAGAGGACACCCAAAAACCCUCACAAAUUGCUCUCGCUAUCCGAGGACUCUCAGCUAACUUUACUAUUGCUUGCUCCUAUAAGGCAAAGCUACGUGUUGGUUCAUGGGAGAAGCCGAUACAGGGGUAUAUGAAAUUAAAUGUAGAUGCUGGCUUUGACCGGGAUCUUCUUGAGGGAUUAGUGGGGGCAGUAAUCCGAGAUUAUAAUGGGAAAUUUAUUGCGGCAGCUAAUGAACGAGUGGACAUAUGCUAUGAUUCAUUCACUGCAUAG
rnacentral:rRNA from 1 species